UAGGGGAGCCGCAGGGAAACCGAGUCUUAACCGGGCGUUAAGUUGCAGGGUAUAGACCCGAAACCCGGUGAUCUAGCCAUGGGCAGGUUGAAGGUUGGGUAACACUAACUGGAGGACCGAACCGACUAAUGUUGAAAAAUUAGCGGAUGACCUGUGGCUGGGGGUGAAAGGCCAAUCAAACCGGGAGAUAGCUGGUUCUCCCCGAAAGCUAUUUAGGUAGCGCCUCGUGAAUUCAUCUCCGGGGGUAGAGCACUGUUUCGGCUAGGGGGCCAUCCCGGCUUACCAACCCGAUGCAAACUGCGAAUACCGGAGAAUGUUAUCACGGGAGACACACGGCGGGUGCUAACGUCCGUCGUGAAGAGGGAAACAACCCAGACCGCCAGCUAAGGUCCCAAAGUCAUGGUUAAGUGGGAAACGAUGUGGGAAGGCCCAGACAGCCAGGAUGUUGGCUUAGAAGCAGCCAUCAUUUAAAGAAAGCGUAAUAGCUCACUGGUCGAGUCGGCCUGCGCGGAAGAUGUAACGGGGCUAAACCAUGCACCGAAGCUGCGGCA
rnacentral:rRNA from 1 species